UGAACGCUGGCGGUAGGCCUAACACAUGCAAGUCGAACGGCAGCACAGUAAGAGCUUGCUCUUACGGGUGGCGAGUGGCGGACGGGUGAGGAAUACAUCGGAAUCUACUUUUUCGUGGGGGAUAACGUAGGGAAACUUACGCUAAUACCGCAUACGACCUACGGGUGAAAGCAGGGGAUCUUCGGACCUUGCGCGAUUGAAUGAGCCGAUGUCGGAUUAGCUAGUUGGCGGGGUAAAGGCCCACCAAGGUGACGAUCCGUAGCUGGUCUGAGAGGAUGAUCAGCCACACUGGAACUGAGACACGGUCCAGACUCCUACGGGAGGCAGCAGUGGGGAAUAUUGGACAAUGGGCGCAAGCCUGAUCCAGCCAUACCGCGUGGGUGAAGAAGGCCUUCGGGUUGUAAAGCCCUUUUGUCGGGAAAGAAAAGCAGCAGGUUAAUACCCCGCUGUUCUGACGGUACCCAAAGAAUAAGCACCGGCUAACUUCGUG
rnacentral:rRNA from 1 species